UCCCCAACAUAAACUAAGGUGCUGCAUGCCC
rnacentral:piRNA from 1 species